GUUAUUGCAGUCAGGUGAUGUCACAGGUGCCCUGGCAAGGUAUAUAAGGGUGGCUAGAAAGAACAUGAUCAACUUCAUAUGGUCUGAAGGAAGAUGUACACGCAUGCCGGAAAUAUGGCAACAUGGCGCAGUGUCUUGCUCCCCUUCUCAGGGAACCAGGGUUAACUACGUAACCCAGACUUCCCUUUUGAAGUGGAACUUAACACUGUAUUACGGAGUUGAUGCUAUGGGAAAAAACUCUUCUGAGGACCAAAAAACUCAGCCACUGAACCUCUAGGAAAGCGCUUCACUCAGUAACGGCUCUCCUAGGAAGCUAGUUGACAUACAAUUGUCCAACUAUUACCUCCAGGAUGAACCGAAGAGGCUACCGAGAAAGCAGUGCACCAUAGCGCUCUCAUAGUACUCUCUACCAAGUAGCUCUUGUCAGAUGAUGGUUGCCCAUUCCUACUGUUCCAGCGAACAAAAGAGAGUGGGUCACUAACUGUGAUAAAGUCCACUUUUAUACUCUGUUCCAAUACUCCAUGCUAACCAGAAAUCAUGUUAACAGUCCUGUUAACACUAUGUCCACACUAUCACCUCCAGAUAGACGGGAGGGGUGACAAAUGAAGGACAGUGACACACAAGCAGAGCAGAUGCUCCCUCACUCAGAUCCUUUAAUAGGUUGGCUUGAUACGCAUGCAACACCUAUAUGGUGUGCAGAGCUCCGCUGGCCUGACCUGCCAUCACAUAAGCCUCGCCACUGAGCCUAGAUGCCAUCUGGCAUGGCUUCGAUGGCAAGGCUGGAGCCUUCCACUAGGUCACCACACCAAGAAUGAGAUAUCUCACAAGCAAAUCUUCGAACUGGGGCAUCCCCACAUAGCCAUGUUCAGCAAGCCCCUUUAAAUUAGUUUAAAAAAAGUUGAUUUAUUUCACUAAUUCCAUUCAAAAAGUGAAACUUGUAUAUUAUAUUCAUUCAUUACACACAGACUGAUAUAUUUCAAAUGUUUAUUUAUUUUAAUUUUGAUGAUUAUAACUGACAACUAAGGAAAAUCCCAAAUUCAGUAUCUCAGAAAAUUAGAAUAUUGUGAAAAGGUUCAAUAUUGAAGACACCUGGUGCCACACUCUAAUCAGCUAAUUAACUCAAAACACCUGCAAAGGCCUUAAAUGGUCUCUCAGUCUAGUUCUGUAGGCUACACAAUCAUGGGGAAGACUGCUGACUUGACAGUUGUCCAAAAGACGACCAUUGACACCUUGCACAAGGAGGGCAAGACACAAAAGGUCAUUGCAAAAAAGGCUGGCUGUUCACAGAGCUCUGUGUCCAAGCACAUUAAUAGAGAGGCGAAGGGAAGGAAAAGAUAUGGUAGAAAAAAAAGUGUAGAAGCAAUAUGGAUAACUGCACCUUGGAGAGGAUUGUGAAACAAAACCAAAAUACAAGUUUCACUUUUUGAAUGGAAUUAGUGAAAUAAAUCAACUUUUUGAUGAUAUUCUAAUUAUAUGACCAGCACCUGUAGCUGUUCACUACAGGGGUGUAAACACGAGGCGAGAAUGGUUUAUCCCAAAGACUCAUUAUGGAGAUCAGGGAGGAAGGGAAGGUACACCAGACGCCUGGCUCCCAUCCCCUUGAAAAGAGCCAGGUGGGAGGGCUGAUCAAGUGUGCUCUGCUCUGAGACAUAUAACAUACAGAUCAUGUGAAUCUCCUGCUGUUAUAUAUCUCUGACAUAGCAUGACACAUCUCAUAAAUGCUUUGCUAGACAUGAUUUUCUCCUAGCUUCCUGAAGACAAAGAAAACAGAUGAUGUUCUGUCUAGGCACCCUUAUAUACCCUGCCAGUGCACCUGUGAUGUCACCUGACUGUGGUAGCCAAUCAAGAUUGCCGUGUAGCACACGUGCUUCAGAUACUGACUCAUGAUCAUCAUGAUCAUCAUCAACUCCAUGGCACGGCGUUGAGUUUCACUUUGAAAGAGAAUUGAGUGUGGUAAGCAUAGACCUUCCUGGCCAGGGCACAUACCAGAUCCGCAUGAUUCCUUACCAUGAUGCACAGUUUACUAGCCCAUAUGAGGGGGAUGUGGAAAUGCAGGUGAACCAGCAGAUGUACGUGGCGGUUGAGGUGGAAGGAGUGGAUAGAAGUCAGAUUGCAACAAUUCUGGACAACUGCUGGGCGACACCAGUUAAUGAUAGUGAAUAUAAAAUUCGCUGGAAUCUGAUCAUUAGAGAAUGUCCCAAUCCUGAGGAUGGAACAGUGGAAGUUUUACAGAAUGGCAUUGACACAACAAGCCAUUUCUCCUUCAGGAUGUUCACAUUCACAGGAGCUUCUGAUCACAUUUUUUUGCACUGUCAGGUUCACCUCUGCCUGGUACAGAGUGGCAGAUGUGCACAGUCAUGCAACCCUGGACAUAGACGCAGAAGGCGCAGAUCUUUGGACUUCCAUCACUCUGCAGCGAUCAGCAUGGGUCUAUAAGAGAGCUAGAUUAAUAAACCUGCUGGAUGAACAAUGAAUGCUGUCAGAAAGAAAUCAUUUUGUUUUUAUAGAGGGUGUUAUUUUAAACAGGGUGUUAUUCAAAACAAAAAACAUUUUUGAGGGUGGGGCUUUUGUGACUGCAUGCUGGACUAAAAAAAAUAUUAAAUUUGAAAGAAAAUUUGUUUUUCUUUUUACAGUGUUCAUGAAGUAAUAUUACAUAAAUAAAACUGUUUAAUCCUAAAA